AGUAGCCGCGGUAAUUCCAGCUCCAAUAGCGUAUAUUAAAGUUGUUGCAGUUAAAAAGCUCGUAGUUGAAUUUCGGAAUCUGUCCAUUGGUCGGGCUUCACUGUCCGUACUGGUGUGGUGGGUUCUUACCUUCUGAAUAACCAGCAUGCCAUUCACUUGGUGCGUUGGGGAAGCAGGACUAUUACCUUGAAAAAAUUAGAGUGCUCAAAGCAGGCUAGUGCCUGAAUACAUUAGCAUGGAAUAAUAAAAUAGGACGGCAUGGUUCUAUUUUGUUGGUUUCUAGGAUCACCGUAAUGAUUAAUAGGGAUAGUUGGGGGCAUUAGUAUUCAAUUGUCAGAGGUGAAAUUCUUGGAUUUAUUGAAGACUAACUUCUGCGAAAGCAUUUGCCAAGGAUGUUUUCAUUAAUCAAGAACGAAAGUUAGGGGAUCGAAGACGAUCAGAUACCGUCGUAGUCUUAACCAUAAACUAUGCCGACUAGGGAUCGGACGAUGUUAAUUUUUAAUGACUCGUUCGGCG
rnacentral:rRNA from 1 species